UACAGAGGGUGCGAGCGUUAAUCGGAAUUACUGGGCGUAAAGCGCGUGUAGGCGGCUAAGUAAGUCGGGCGUGAAAUCCCACGGCUCAACCGUGGAAGUGCACUCGAAACUGCGUAGCUAGAGUCCUGGAGAGGAAGGUGGAAUGCUUGGUGUAGAGGUGAAAUUCGUAGAUAUCAAGCGGAACACCGGUGGCGAAGGCGGCCUUCUGGACAGUGACUGACGCUGAGACGCGAAAGCGUGGGGAGCAAACAGG
rnacentral:rRNA from 1 species